GUUAAAGUAGUUUAUAAAAAAUAUUGAGUUGUGGCCUCAAAGAUAUAAUAUUUUUAUCUAUAACU
rnacentral:tRNA from 1 species